AUUGAACGCUGGCGGCAGGCCUAACACAUGCAAGUCGAGCGAGCGGCGGACGGGUGAGUAAUGUCUGGGAAUCUGCCCGAUAGAGGGGGAUAACUACUGGAAACGGUGGCUAAUACCGCAUACGAUCGGAUGACCCCAUAUGGGAUUAGCUAGUAGGUGGGGUAAAGGCUAACCUAGGCGACGAUCCCUAGCUGGUCUGAGAGGAUGAUCAGCCACACUGGGACUGAGACACGGUCCAGACUCCUACGUGAGGCAGCAGUGGGGAAUAUUGCACAAUGGGCGCAAGCCUGAUGCAGCCAUGCCGCGUGUAUGAAGAAGGCCGUAGGGUUGUAAAGUACGUUCAGCGGGGAGGCGUUACCCGCAGAAGAAGCACCGGCUAACUCCGUGCCAGCAGCCGCGGUAAUAC
rnacentral:rRNA from 1 species